UACGGAGGGUGCGAGCGUUGCUCGGAAUCACUGGGCGUAAAGCGCACGUAGGCGGCUUUUUAAGUCAGGGGUGAAAUCCUGGAGCUCAACUCCAGAACUGCCUUUGAUACUGGGAAGCUUGAGUCCGGGAGAGGUGAGUGGAACUCCGAGUGUAGAGGUGAAAUUCGUAGAUAUUCGGAAGAACACCAGUGGCGAAGGCGGCUCACUGGCCCGGUACUGACGCUGAGGUGCGAAAGCGUGGGGAGCGAACAGG
rnacentral:rRNA from 1 species